rnacentral:rRNA from 1 species
UGGGGAAUUUUGUACAAUGGGGGAAACCCUGAUCCAGCCAUCCCGCGUGUGCGAUGAAGGCCUCCGGGUUGUAAAGCACUUUUGGCAGGAAAGAAACGUCAUGGGUUAAUACCCCGUGAAACUGACGGUACCUGCAGAAUAAGCACCGGCUAACUACGUGCCAGCAGCCGCGGGAAUACGUAGGGUGCAAGCGUUAAUCGGAAUUACUGGGCGUAAAGCGUGCGCGGGCGGUUCGGAAAGAAAGAUGUGAAAUCCCAGAGCUCAACUUUAGAACUGCAUUUUUAACUACCGCGCUAGAGUGUGUCAGAGGGAGGUGUUAUUCCGCGUGUAGCAGUGAAAUGCGUAGUUAUGCGGAGGAACACCGAUGGCGAAGGCAGCCUCCUGGUAUAACACUGACGCUCAUGCACGACAGCGUGGGGAGCAAACAGG